rnacentral:rRNA from 1 species
UACGUAGGGUGCAAGCGUUAAUCGGAAUUACUGGGCGUAAAGCGUGCGCAGGCGGUGAUGUAAGCCAGAUGUGAAAUCCCCGGGCUCAACCUGGGAACUGCAUUUGUGACUGCAUCGCUGGAGUACGGCAGAGGGGGAUGGAAUUCCGCGUGUAGCAGUGAAAUGCGUAGAGAUGCGGAGGAACACCGAUGGCGAAGGCAGCCCCCUGGGCUGACACUGACGCUCAGGCACGAAAGCGUGGGGAGCAAACAGG